rnacentral:rRNA from 1 species
UACGAAGGGGGCUAGCGUUGCUCGGAAUCACUGGGCGUAAAGCGCACGUAGGCGGAUCUUUAAGUCAGGGGUGAAAUCCUGGAGCUCAACUCCAGAACUGCCUUUGAUACUGGGGAUCUCGAGUCCGGAAGAGGUGAGUGGAACUCCGAGUGUAGAGGUGAAAUUCGUAGAUAUUCGGAAGAACACCAGUGGCGAAGGCGGCUCACUGGCCCGUUACCGACGCUCAGGCGCGACAGCGUGGGGAGCAACAGG